UAGAAACAAAAAGCGCCAGGACUCAAGUGAUUGAUAAAAGAUUGUCUUUUAGAAGGAAACUCAGACAUGCGUCUGAGUAAGUUCGACUAACCAAAUCAAAGAUUUGGAGUCUCACUUAAGUUGACGAGGAUGGGGAGUAUCGAAUCUUCGGCGGAUGCCCCACGGUACCACACUACCGUUAACAACUGAUAAAUACAGAAAGUGAUUUUUGUAACAACAUCAGUUUGGUGUCAAAA
rnacentral:ncRNA from 2 species